rnacentral:rRNA from 1 species
UACGUAGGGUGCAAGCGUUGUCCGGAAUUAUUGGGCGUAAAGAGCGUGUAGGCGGCCAGGUAGGUCUGCUGUGAAAACUCGAGGCUCAACCUCGAGACGUCGGCGGAAACCAUCUGGCUAGAGUCCGGAAGAGGAGAGUGGAAUUCCUGGUGUAGCGGUGAAAUGCGCAGAUAUCAGGAAGAACACCCGUGGCUAAGGCGGCUCUCUAGUACGGUACUGACGCUGAGACGCGAAAGCGUGGGGAGCGAACAGG